rnacentral:lncRNA from 1 species
AAUCAAAAAGUACAACAAACACCACCCCAAUCCACCCCUUACAAUACAUCAAAUAAAAUUCAACAAUGACCCACUAUCGUUUAUCCCCCAACCUAAAACCAUAAUGUAGUUAUAUUAGUAAAAUAUAAGAACAUUCAUUUGAUGCGUUGAGUGUAAGUUAGAUGUGUUAAGUUAUACUGCAUGGAAAAUAAAUGUUGAGUAACAUGUUAGUGAGAAGGUUUAUAAGUAACAUGUUAGUGAAAUAGUUAAUGUUUUGAAAUUUGAAGUGAAAACGUGUUGUUUAAACUACUUAUGUGAUUACUCUCAUUCUAAUGUGAUUACUCCCAAUGUUUUUGGCUCGAGUUCUAAGAAUGGUAUCACAACCUAGUUCAAUUGAGUGAGACAAAAAGAGUCGAUCAUGUUGUUGAGUUAAUGUGGAGAGUCUCACACGAGAGUACGAGACAAAUAUUUUGAUGCAGAGCCUUGUAUGAACCGGGAAAGGCAACGACCAUCCAUUAUUUAUUUUUUGGAGUGAAGUAUUCUUUUUUGACAGGUGGCUUAGUGACUAAAAAUUUCACCCUUAAGGUGGAUAAGUGAAGUGUCCGCGGUUCAAAUCUUGACCUCUGCAUAUAAAAUGCGAUGUUCCUUACCAACUAAGACAAGCUCAUGGGGAUGAGUAAAGAUUUAUUUUGGUCCUCGAAAUAUUUUGACGCAAUUGCAGAGACCAACCCUCUCGAGACUAAUCCCCUCGAGAUAACUGAG